rnacentral:lncRNA from 1 species
CUUUCUCUCUUCGCCUGCUGCCGUCCAUGUAAGAUGGGACUUGCUCCUCCUUGCCUUCCACCAUGAUUGUGAGGCUUCCUCAGCCACGUGGAACUAUGCCCUGACCUUCCGGGAAACCCUCGGUGAGAGGCCCACAGCCUCGCUUCUAGGGUCACCACUGCUUCUUCCAGUCUAGCCAAACAGCUCCUAGUACAGCUCAGAGCACCCUGCAAGGAGGGCACGUGUUAAAUCGAGGAGCACACAUGCUCCACGAGGAAUUCUUUGCUUUGAGGCCAUGCACAGAGGUGGGUUCACUAUGAAGCUUGUGAAAUAAGCUUCAGGGCCCGCAUUUGCAUGGGCCACAGAGAGUCUGGGAGCUGCAGAAGGUUCAAGGGAAGAGGAGCCAUCACAAGCAGAAUAUUCUAGAAGGCAUUUCUGGCAAAUGGCCCAAAGAGGCCUCAGGAGAAAAGAACUUGAGUCUUCAAGGAUGCAAUGAGAAGGCACCAUCUGUGAGGAACAGGCCUCCGACAGACACCGAAUUUGCUGGCACUUUGAUCUUGGACUUCCCAGCCUCCAAAAUUAUCCAUAAUGGAUUCCUGGGACAUUUUCAGAUCUCCUUCCAGCUUCCUCUUCGCCCUUUCCAAGUCCGCCCGCAGUUUCUUCUCCUGCUCUAAGGAACCCUCAAGCUGAGAAGACACACAGAGACAAGGGCUUGCUCUGUUGCCCAAGCUAAAGUGCAGUGGUGUGAGUGUAGCCCACUGCAUCCUCACACUCCUGUGCUCAAGUGAUCCUCCCACCUCAGCCUCCCAAGUAGCUGGAACUACAAGAUGGAGUCUCGCUGCGAUGCCCAGGCUGGAGUGCAAUGGUGCAAUCUUGGCUCACUGCAACCUUCGUUUCCCAGGUUUAAGCAAUUCUCCUGCCUCAGCCUCCCAAGUAUCUGGGACUACAGGCGAGCGUCACCAUGCCUGGCUAAUUUUUGUAUUUUUAGUAGAGAUGUUUAGUAGAGAGUUUCACCAUAUUGGCCAGGCUGGUCUUGAACUCCUGACCUCAAGGGAUCCGCCCACCUUGGCCUCUCAAAGUGCUGGGAUUACAGGCGUGAGCCACCGUGCCUGGCAAUGUUUGUAGUUUCUUUCAUGAAUUUACCUCCUUUUAUUCUUUAAUCCCUGCUUAUCUCUAAAGAGUAAGUAACUGAAAGUAAUAAAACGGAAUUUUCUCAACAAUAUUUUAUAAGUUGAUUUCUUUUUCUUUCCUACAGGAAACAACCCAAUUUGCCAUCUUAAUUUGGAGUCUACUUUUUCUGAAUGACUCAGUUUUCUCUGAUACUUAAUCAAGAUGCAGCCUUGGGGGAAAAUGUCAUGUCCCAGUCUCCCCCAUGUUCCUUUCCCUUCAUCCCACUUUGUCCCCGGGGUCUAGCAUGACUGUGUGUUUGGAUUGGGGAAGUGAAGGCAGGAAAGUCGCUUCCCCAAAUCCGCAUCCACACAGGGUCUUAUGUUAGAGUUGAUGUUAUCUCUAGGCGAGGUUAUGCAAUGUAGUUACAGAGACAUUGUGAUUAGAUUCAAAGAAAAUGAUUUUCAUCAUUGAAGUUUACGCAUGUGCCCAUUUCCUAUUUAUUACAUUCCCUGGCCCAGAGGACAUUAGGCUUUCAUUUUUAAAAAAUGAUCUCAUUAUCUAAUGAAUAAUUAUAUUUCAUAUAUUUUAUUAAUUUAUUAAAUGUAUGCAUUUAAAAUGGCAUAUAAUGUUAAAACUCUAUGUUGGCUACUAUUUAAAAGUAUAUUUACUGGUAAUCUUAAAAAGUGUUACUGGCUUGUGUUACUUAUUUAUUUGUUUGAGAUAGGGUCUCACUCUGUCAUCCGGGCUGGAGUACAGUGGCCCAAUCAUGGCUCGCUGCAAUUUCAGCCACCCAAUCUCAUGUGAUCCUCCCAGCUCAGGUUCCCAAGUAGCUGGACUACAGGUGUGCACCACCACUUUUGGCUAAUUAUUUUAUUUUAUCUUAUUUUAUUUUGUUUUAGAGACAGGAUCUCUAUGUUGCCCACACUGGUCUUGAACUCCUGGCCUCAAAUGAUCCUUCUGCCUCAGCGUCCCAAAGUGUUGGGAUUACAGGUGUAAGCCACCACGCCUGGCCCCUGUGUAACCACUCUGGAAAAGAGUUCAGAAGUUACUCAAAAUUUUGAACACAGUUAUCAUAUGACCCAGCAACUCUACUCCUAGAGCCCAGUCUCUUACAGAAGAGGAAGAAUAAGAGCAGGAGGAAGAAAAAUGGAGCUGAAAGAGAAACAUCAUACUCAGCUGAAGCUCAUGUCUGAUUACUGGUUCUUCACAAGCAGCUCUGGGUUAGGAGUCAUUACAUAGAACGUCCCACAGAGGGAAAGAAAUGAUAGAAUUUUACCUGUCUCUGCACCAGCAUAGUUGGAAAAAAGGAAGGAGAGAAGCUUCAGCGAAGACUUCUGGUACAGCCCCACCACAGUCUCGUUCAGGGGGUCCUUGUUUUUGUCCAGCCAGCCGGCGAUGUUGUAGUCCACGGUGCCGGCAUAGUGCACCAGCGAGAAGUGAGCCUCAGCCUUGCCUUUGGCAGGCUUGGGCUUCUGGAAGUUGUUGGAUUUUCCAAGAUGCUGGUCAUACAGCUUGUUCUUGAAGGAGGUGUCUGUUGCCUUGGGGAACAUGCACUCCUCUUCCAGGAUGGAGAAGAUGCCCAUAGGCUGGAAAGAGGAUAACAGAGUCUACAUAUAAUAGUGCAUACCCAUGCUUCAUGGUCUGGAGAAGCCAAAAAACCUUCUUUGGUGCUUUCACUCUGGUACCAGGAAUGCUGGCAUGUACGCUCGGUGAGAGCAAGACUCUUGGUCUGUUUGGGGGAUGACCAGAAAGUGCUAGGCAUAGAGUAUGUGCUUAAUUAAUAUUUGCUGAACAAAAGAAUAUAGGAUAAAAUUAUGUGUGUAUAAACCUAGCAUACUUUUUUCAAUAGGUGUACAAAAAAGUAAAGUUUCAUAUAUAGCCAUAAAGUAAUGUGAGUAAUAUUUUGAACAAUAAUGUCCCAAUUUCUCAGUAGCCACCUUAGGAAGAUAUACUCAUUCCAACAUGAGCAGUGCUCAAAUAUUAUGGGAAUUCCUUUUUAAAAAGUUAAUGUCGGCCGGGCGUGGUGGUUCACGUCUGUAAUCCCAGUACUUUGGGAGGCUGAGGUGGGUGGAUCACAAGGUCAGGAGUUUGAGACCAGCCUGGCCAACAUGGUGAAACCCCGUCUCUACAAAAAAAAGAAAAAAAAAAUUAUCUGGGCGUGGUGGCGGGCACCUGUAGUCCCAACUAUUCAGGAGGUGGAGGCAGGAGGAUCGCUUGAACCUGGGAGGUGGAGGUUGCAGUGAUCCGAGACUGCACCACUGCACUCCAGCCUGGGUGACAGAGCAAGACUCCGUCUCAAAAAAAAAAAAAAAAAAAAAAGUUAAUAUCUAUUCCUGUUUUCAUAUUAACAUCCCUCCAAGAGCCACACUGCUCCAUGGUUCCGCCUCCUUGGGUCUUUGGGUAAGUCAAAUAGGUAAGAAAUGCCACAGUCCUUACUGGGGUUCCAUCACAUUCUUGGAGAUAACUGAGCCCUUGGAUUUUAAUGACCCGUAAACCUCUUUAAGUGUCAGAACAGAUUUAGGACAUUCAUUCUCUUUGCAAAUAGGCAUUCAGUUAUCUAUCUGAAGGCUUGCAGCCUGGGGGCUAGGGGCCCCAAUCUGUGAGCAGAAAAGAAUCAGAGCAAGAAGGGGAGGGCCCCCAAUAAGGAGGAGCUGUCCCAGGCAGCAGUAUCUCUCUACCUUCUCGAUGAGCUCGAUGCAGGCAGCCAGGUCCAUUCCGAAGUCAAUGAACUCCCACUCGAUGCCUUCCUUCUUGUACUCUUCCUGCUCCAGCACGAACAUGUGGUGGUUGAAAAACUGUUGCAGUUUCUCAUUGGUGAAGUUGAUGCACAGCUGCUCCAGGCUGUUGAACUGGGUGAUUCAAAUACCAAAGAAUUUGAGUGAGCUUGGAAAAUACAUUGGAGAUUCAGCAAAGCAGACAAGAAAGUAGAAGGUCACAACUCACAUCAAAGAUCUCAAAGCCAGCAAUGUCCAAGACCCCGAUGAAGUACUGCCUGGGCUGCUUGGUGUCCAGCUGCUGGUUGAUGCGGGUGACCAUCCACAGGAACAUCUUCUCGUAGACGGCUUUGGCCAGAGCACCCACCGAAUUGGUCACCUUGAAAAAGGAUCACCCACUCAACCCUUGAGUUAGUGUUUCUAUGGCUGCAUUAAGUUGAAACAUAUGAAAUUGACUCGAAAAUCAAAAGCUGUUGGCUAGGCGUGGUGGCUCACACCUGUAAUCCCAGCACUUUGGGAGGCCAAGGCGGGCGGAUCACGAGGUCAGGAGUUCAAGACCAUCCUGGCCAACAUGGUGAAACCCCGUCUCUACUAAAAAUACAAAAAUUAGCCAGGUGUGGUGGCAGGCGCCUGUAGUCCCAGCUAUUCGGGAGGCUGAGGCAGGAGAAUCACUUGAACUUGGGAGGUGGAGGUUGCAGUGAGCCAAGAUCGUGCCACUGCACUCCAGCCUGGUGACAUAGCGAGACUCUGUCUCAAAAAAAAAAAAAAAAAAAAAACAAAAGAAAAAAAGAAAAUCAAAAGCAGUUGAAUAUUGGCAAUUUCAGAUCAUUCAAUGCAAUAUUAAAUAUUUUAUGAGGUGUUUGCCCAGCUCAUGUUGUUCACCUUUCUUUGAGAACUAUCCUAUUCACAAAGAUAUUUUUCUAACAACAUGGUUAUAGCACAUGACUCCAGCCCCUGGCCACACUUAAUUAGACCAGAGGUGAACACUUGAUCCAGAUUGGAUUAAUUGAGUAUCUCUCCUAAGAAUUUGGAAUAGGGAUCAAAAGACACUGGUCUCAGUCUCAGGGUGAGGCUGGAAACACAGAGAUAUAAACUUGGGAGCUAUGGGGUGGCCACGGGCAAGAGAGGUCCAGGAAACUUAUCUGCCUAGCAAGGACACAACAGAGGAGAGACUCAACAGCCCAUGAAUCCCAGAGGAGCUGGAGGGAGGCUGCCUGGCUCCAGAGGGCUCUUCACUUUCUAAUUCCAGGUCCUCAUGGCGUCCAAUGGGCACUUAAUGAUUUGCAUUCCUUCAGUUGCCUCUGAAGCCUAAAAAUGAACUUCCUCUUAAUGUGAAAGCUGAUUUCAUGUGCAUUUCUGAUACCUGCAACUGAAGGAGCUUUAAGAUAAUGGCUCAAAUAGCAAAAGAUCUCAAUCAACUGGAUUCAGAGCAUCUCCAUUACCUGCUGGACAUUUUGCCCUUUAGUGACAUAUUCAUUGCCAACCUUCACCCUUGGACAGCACAGGCCCUUCAGCAUUUCUGCAGAAUUCAGUCCCAUCAGGUAUCCGGCUUUGUCAGCCACUGAAGGAAGAGAAAAAAAUGGCAUCAUGCAAAAACAGUAGCUGCUAAAGUGUCCAGUCAGCCCCUGGCUUCUCCCAGAAGUGUUUUCUGUAAUUUUCUUAAAUGUUUUCAUGUUGUCA